AAUGUUAUCCUACCUUUUAAGAGAAUUUUCUGGGUACAAAAAUAAAACUCGUCGCUGAAAACAUUACCAGAAUGUUCUUAGAACAUUUCAUCACAAUAAAAUUUCUAGCUGGGAUGUGGCCCACGGCAGAAAAUUGUUGCACUCUACUGUAACAACAUUACGCCAGAGUUUGACUCAAGAGUUUUACUGAGUCAGUUAGGAAAUACUGGAAAUUACUAUUGUCAAUUAGAUAGAUAACAGAAGAAUUCCACUGUUUUCUUUUUAAUGUUAUGAGCUGAAGAAUAGAACACACACACACACUACACAUUUAGGCUGUUUAAAACACUCAUAGGAGAUGCAAGAGGAAGCUUUUCUCAAUAUAUAAAUUGAGUUAUUUUACAUAGGCUAUGAUAUUCUGAGGAUGGACAAUUCAAAGCCAUCACCAUUUUUGACAUCACUGUUCGGGGCCUACUUUCUGAGAGACUGUCCUGUCCAGCCUUACAUCCCAGUCUACCUUAUAGUAUUUGGCGUAUUUGUUUUGCUUGUUCUGGUAG